GCUCCAUUCACGCGAUUUCCCAUUCGCGUAAAGCAAGUCCAGGUGGAACAGAAACUCGCGCAAAUCGAGGGACGGCGCCGUUAAUGUGAAAAGCGACGUUUACAUUUCCGGUCAGAAGCGCGGAAGCUGUAAUUCCGUGCCUGGAGAUAAAUAAAACAAUCAAUCCACCGAGACAAAGAACCGACGAAAAUUCUUGCAAUGCAAUCCAGGUAAAUAAUUAUUCAAAACUCGUAGUAUAAUUAGAAAUUAGAAAUUAAGUUAAAUUCAUUCA